CGUGUGCGCCGGCCCGCUUCCCUUUGCUGUCUUGCACGGUGCGCCGCCUGCUUUGUUUCCUGGUUACGUAUCAGAGGGCAGAAUUCACAAGGUAGGCUCUGCGCACAUCCCACGUGCUGAUAUCGCGAAAGCGAAGGCCUCGAACAAGUGAAGGCCGCUUUAACUGUCGUUUCCGACGCUGUGCCUCAAAAAAAAACAUUGUUUAGGGGCCUUUUUCUUGCGGCUUCACGCGGCGCUGUUGACGCGGUUUGUUCUUUAUUUGUGGGAUUCCCGAUCCCGUCCGCACCCCGCCGGUGUGCAGCCAUGACGCUGUACUCCAUCUACGUGUUCAACCGAUACGGGGACACCAUCUACACAAAGCAGUGGAAGCGUACCAGCGCCGUGCAGCACGGCGAGGACGGUCUCGUCGCUGGCUUUGUCUACACCCUCCAGCACAUCAGCUCACAGUUGUCCUCCACCCAGGCCGGCGGCCUGCGGGCCGUGCACACGCCGCUGUACAAAGUACACUACUCGGAGACAAUGACGGGCUACCGCGUUGCACUCUUUACGGACAACGCCAUGAGCACGGCGGUCGUGCAAGGCGCGUUGACGGAGCUCCUCAAAGACGUGUUUAUCCGUACCGUGACGAAGAACCCGUCGUACCGACACGAGAAGGGCAUGCUCGUCACCGGAACAGGUUUUGAGGAUGCCAUGGAGGCGCUCUUUCGACGAAAAAAGCUGCUUACUUGAGCACGUUCCGAUUCCUCACCUUCGAAGGCGUUGGUGGUGGUGUAUGUGUGUGUGGGGAGGGUGUGUCUUGCGUGCCUCUGCCAAUUCCUCGAUGCCCUUGCGGGGCUUGUGUUGUCAUUCGUGGGGGACAUCUCCCCAAUGUUGCACUCCUUGCCUUCCUCUCGUCCAGGGACGACGACGUGGAGGAGAGGAGGAAGGAAACCACGGCGCAGCAAGACAUCCAGAAAGCGUGAAAAAAAAGCCGCGUUUUGUCUAUCCUCUCUGAUAGGACGCCAGGCACACCAUGGGCCGGGACGUGCUACAGACAUGGCGAUUCUCGUAGGCGCGAUGGCAGUCUUGCCCAUCAAUCCUGCACGAUUGUACUGCCGGCUCCGCUUUUUUUUUGGUGCCUUUUGGGUUCCGUCGUGGAGAGCCUCACUGGGGACGGCCGAUGGGGUGCCGCCCAAUCCUCUGCAUGUUUUCGUUUCCUGCCGAUUUUCCCUAUUUUGCAUGAGGGAAACUUCUUCCUUUUUUUCGCAUGCAAGUUGUGCGUUACUGCUCACGCCGCCCUCUACUCGCUCAUACAUCUGCACGCCAUCUUCCUCCCUCCUCCGCCUGUGCGUAUCCUUCACAUUGGCCCAACGCUGCAG
rnacentral:misc_RNA from 1 species